AUUUAUGUUCGGUAGAAAUACAGGAUAGAAUGUUUCAAUGUAACGAGCUUUUGUCUUGAUUGUAAACUUGAACUAAAUAGUAAUAUAUCGUGCAUUAUGCACAUGGAGGUUUUCAAUAUGAACACAGGUUCAGUAAAAUGGUUUAACGCAGAAAAAGGCUUCGGUUUCAUCGAAGUUGAAGGUGGAGACGAUGUAUUCGUACACUUCUCAGCAAUCCAAGGCGAAGGUUUCAAAACAUUAGAAGAAGGUCAAUCAGUUUCUUUCGAUAUCGAAGAAGGUAACCGUGGACCUCAAGCAGCUAACGUUGUUAAAAACUAAUUAGUUUGCUGAUUUAAAACCAUCGAUUUUUAUCGAUGGUUUUUUA
rnacentral:sRNA from 1 species